UACGUAGGUGGCAAGCGUUGUUCGGAAUUAUUGGGCGUAAAGGGCGCGUAGGCGGCCAACUAAGUCAGACGUGAAAUCCCUCGGCUUAACCGGGGAACUGCGUCUGAUACUGGUUGGCUUGAAUCCGGGAGAGGGAUGUGGAAUUCCAGGUGUAGCGGUGAAAUGCGUAGAUAUCUGGAGGAACACCGGUGGCGAAGGCGGCAUCCUGGACCGGUAUUGACGCUGAGGAGCGAAAGCCAGGGGAGCAAACGGG
rnacentral:rRNA from 1 species